rnacentral:rRNA from 1 species
CCUACGGGUGGCUGCAGUGAGGAAUAUUGGUCAAUGGGCGCGAGCCUGAACCAGCCAAGUCGCGUGAAGGAUGACGGCCCUACGGGUUGUAAACUUCUUUUGUACGGGAAUAAAGCGAGUCACGUGUGACUCUUUGAGUGUACCUUAAGAAUAAGGAUCGGCUAACUCCGUGCCAGCAGCCGCGGUAAUACGGAGGAUCCGAGCGUUAUCCGGAUUUAUUGGGUUUAAAGGGUGCGUAGGGGGGAGGUUAAGUCAGUGGUUAAAGUUGGGGGCUUAACCGCCAAACUGCCGUUGAUACUGGAAGUCUUGAGUGCGGGUGAAGUAGGCGGAAUGCGUGGUGUAGCGGUGAAAUGCUUAGAUAUCACGAAGAACUCCGAUUGCGAAGGCAGCUUACUGGACUGCAACUGACGCUGAUGCGCGAAAGCGUGGGUAUCAAACAGGAUUAGAUACCCCAGUAGUC